AACCUCCGCAAUGUACGAAAGUGCGACGGGGGGAUCCCAAGUGUUAUGCUUUUUUGUAUAACUUUUCAUUAGUGUAAAAAGCUUUUAGAAUAAGAGCUGGGCAAGACCGGUGCCAGCCGCCGCGGUAACACCGGCAGCUCUAGUGGUAGCUGUUUUUAUUGGGCCUAAAGCGUUCGUAGCCGGUUUGAUAAGUCACUGGUGAAAUCCUGUAGCUUAACUGUGGGAAUUGCUGGUGAUACUGUUGAACUUGAGGUCGGGAGAGGUUAGCGGUACUCCCAGGGUAGAGGUGAAAUUCUGUAAUCCUGGGAGGACCACCUGUGGCGAAGGCGGCUAACUGGAACGAACCUGACGGUGAGGGACGAAAGCUAGGGGCGCGAACCGGAUUAGAUACCCGGGUAGUCCUAGCCGUAAACGAUGCGGACUUGGUGUUGGGAUGGCUUUGAGCCGCUCCGGUGCCGAAGGGAAGCUGUUAAGUCCGCCGCCUGGGAAGUACGGUCGCAAGACUGAAACUUAAGGAAUU
rnacentral:rRNA from 1 species